CAUACGGAGGGAGAUGGAGGCG
rnacentral:miRNA from 1 species